rnacentral:rRNA from 1 species
AAAGGUAAGCUACUAAGAGCGAAUGGUGGAUGCCUUGACUGGUAAAGGCGAUGAAGGACGUACUAGACUGCGAUAAGCUACGGGGAGCUGUCAAGAAGCUUUGAUCCGUAGAUUUCCGAAUGGGGCAACCCAAUGUAUAGAGAUAUACAUUACCUAUAUAGGAGCGAACGAGGGGAAUUGAAACAUCUUAGUACCCUCAGGAAAAGAAAUCAAUAGAGAUUGCGUCAGUAGCGGCGAGCGAAAGCGCAAGAGGGCAAACCCAGUGCUUGCACUGGGGGUUGUAGGACUGCAAUGUGCAAGAGGUAAGUUUAGCAGAACAUUCUGGAAAGUAUAACCAUAGAGGGUGAUAGUCCCGUAUGCGAAAAACAAACCUUAGCUAGCAGUAUCCUGAGUAGGGCGGGACACGAGGAAUCCUGUCUGAAUCCGGGUCGACCACGAUCCAACCCUAAAUACUAAUACCAGAUCGAUAGUGCACAAGUACCGUG